AUACCACCAACCACAGAUGGGGAAAAGUAGCGGCGCAUCCCAAAAUGAAAUUGCACCGCCCAGCCCCACCGGACCAAAGCGGGAAAGCAAAAGCCUACAGCACCCGGUAUUCCCAGGAGGUCUCCCAUCCAAGUACUAACCAGGCCCGACCCUGCUUAGCAUCCGAGAUCGGAAGCGAUCGGGCGUUGCCAGGGUCGGAUGGCUGUAUGCGCCUCCUGCUCCUGCUCCAGCGCUCUUCUCAUCUUCACACCACUGACAGCACCCUCCACACAAGGGGAAAAGUAGCCACGAACAAAAAACGCAAGCCUAUGGAACACACAACUCCCUGCACCUCACCCAUCCAAGGAUACAUCCCGGAUCUGCUCUGAGUAGGGCUUAUGAUGUCCCCCAGUAUCAACCCUAGCCAAGUCAGCGUCGCAUAAUGGCACUUACAAGCCUGCAGUGGCGCUCUUCACGGCACCGCACGCGCAUGGCACACCACAGGACACACACACACGUGCCUCCUUACCCUUCCAAACAUACUCAAACACCGAACACCCCCCACCUCAGCAUCAGCACGGGUGACCAUCACGCUGUGCCUGGUAUAUCCCUCUAUACUGGCCCACUACGGGCAGCCUGGAACUCAGACACCCUGCCGUCCCUGGCUACAACAGCCUGGGCACACAAGAUCCUUGUCCCAGAUACAGUCAGUGUAUUGUGUUUGUGAUGGAUAGUAGGUGCCAGGAUGCCCUGCAGCCUGGGUGGCAUCCUGUUGCCAAUGGCGAGCCUCUGUAUGCCCACCCACGGCACGACAAUGAGGAUGAGUGUGCAGUGUGCGGGGACGGCGCAGAGCUCAUCUGCUGCCAUGGCUGUCCCAGGGCCAUCCACUGCCUGGUGUCCCUGCUGCCUUGUGUCCCGUGGUGAGCCCCGCGUCUGGAUGGGGUUCCGGUGUACUUCGUGUCCCUGCUGCCCCUCACAGCUGUGCUGGGGUUGUGCAAUGGGACGCGGCAAUGCAGCUCAUGUGUGGCCAAGCUGGGCCACUGGGCUGUGGGAGGCAGACACAGCUGCAGAGCAGCUCCCUGCAAUCCCAGAGAAGGAGGAGCACAGUGCCCAGCAGGGAGGAGGCCACUAGAGCACCUGUGGCAGCUCUUUCUUCAGGAAUCUCUGCACUCCAACAGAGCCCUACACGUGAUGGUGACCCUGGCUCUGCUAAGCACCAAAACACCACUCUGGAAGAAGACUAUAACUGUUUCAGUGUCUCAAACACUGGGGCAUUGCUUGGAGUCAGAGAAGGAACUGAAAAUGUGCUUAAUUUGCAGUCAGAACAGGAAACCAAAAUUGUAUAUGGAAAUGGUGCAGAGUACUCUGUACUCAGUUGGAAAACGGAACUAAAAGUGCUUAUCAAAGAAAGUUCUGCGUAUUUGUGUGCUCAGUUUGCAGUUGGAACAGUGAAUCAAAAGUACUUGCCAAAGAGGGUGCAGCAUACACCUGAGACUGAUGGUCCUACCCCUUUCCUCUUUUUUUCCCUCACUCUAGCAGAGACGCCUACAGCUAAAUCAAGUUGUUCAGAGAACUCAGAACUCAAGGUUCAGCCUGGCCUUGAGUGUCUCCAAGGAUGGGACUUUCAUGACCUCUCUGAGCAACUUGUUUCAGUGCCUCAUUACCCUUAUUGUAAAACACUUUUUGUUUAUAUCUGA
ensembl:lncRNA